GACGAACGCUGGCGGCGUGCUUAACACAUGCAAGUCGAACGGAAAGACCCUGCUUUUGUGGGGUGCUCGAGUGGCGAACGGGUGAGUAACACGUGAGUAACCUGCCCUUGACUUUGGGAUAACUUCAGGAAACUGGGGCUAAUACCGGAUAGGAGCUCCUGCUGCAUGGUGGGGGUUGGAAAGUUUCGGCGGUUGGGGAUGGACUCGCGGCUUAUCAGCUUGUUGGUGGGGUAGUGGCUUACCAAGGCUUUGACGGGUAGCCGGCCUGAGAGGGUGACCGGCCACAUUGGGACUGAGAUACGGCCCAGACUCCUACGGGAGGCAGCAGUGGGGAAUAUUGCACAAUGGGCGGAAGCCUGAUGCAGCAACGCCGCGUGCGGGAUGACGGCCUUCGGGUUGUAAGCCGCUUUCGCCUGUGACGAAGCGUGAGUGACGGUAAUGGGUAAAGAAGCACCGGCUAACUACGUG
rnacentral:rRNA from 1 species